AGGAGUUUGGAUCCUGGCUCAGAUUGAACGCUGGCGGCGUGCCUAACACAUGCAAGUCGAGCGGUAACAGGUGUAGCAAUACAUGCUGACGAGCGGCGAACGGGUGAGUAAUGCUUUGGAAUCUUCCCAGUAGUGGGGAAUAACCAGUCGAAAGAUUGGCUAAUACCGCAUACGUCUGUAAAGGGAAAGCGGGGGCUCGUAAGACCUCGCGCUAUUGGAUGAGCCAAAGUCGGAUUAGCUAGUUGGUGGGGUAAUGGCCUACCAAGGCGACAAUCCGUAGCUGGUCUGAGAGGACGACCAGCCACACCGGAACUGAGACACGGUCCGGACUCCUACGGGAGGCAGCAGUGGGGAAUAUUGGACAAUGGGGGAAACCCUGAUCCAGCGACGCCGCGUGUGUGAAGAAGGCCUGCGGGUUGUAAAGCACUUUUAGUGGGGACAAAAAGCUACGGACUAAUACUCUGUGGUCUUGAUUUAACCCAAAGAAAAAGCACUGGCUAACUCUGUGCCAGCAGCCGCGGUAAUACAGAGGGUGCGAGCGUUAAUCGGAAUUACUGGGCGUAAAGCGCGCGUAGACGGUUUUGUAAGUCAGAUGUGAAAUCCCUGGGCUCAACCUGGGAACUGCAUUUGAAACUGCAUGGCUAGAGUAUGGAAGAGGGAAGUGGAAUUUCCGGUGUAGCGGUGAAAUGCGUAGAUAUCGGAAGGAACACCAGG
rnacentral:rRNA from 1 species